rnacentral:rRNA from 1 species
UACGUAGGGUGCAAGCGUUGUCCGGAAUUAUUGGGCGUAAAGAGCUCGUAGGCGGUCUGUCGCGUCGGAUGUGAAAAUCCAGGGCUCAACCCUGGACCUGCAUUCGAUACGGGCAGACUAGAGUUCGGCAGGGGAGACUGGAAUUCCUGGUGUAGCGGUGAAAUGCGCAGAUAUCAGGAGGAACACCAAUGGCGAAGGCACCAUCCUGGGAAGCAUCUGACGCUCAGGUGCGAAAGCUAGGGGAGCGAACGGG